AGGAUAUUCAGUCCUACCAGGAUACCAGGAUAUUUCAGUCCUACCAGGAUAUUCAGUCCUACCAGGAUAUUUAGUCCUACCAGGAUAUUCAGUCCUACCAGGAUACCAGGAUAUUCAGUCCUACCAGGAUAUUCAGUCCUACCAGGAUAUUCAGUCCUAUCAUGCUGGCUCCAUCCUCUCUAAAUUAUGUUAAGUAAAAUAACCUCAUGCACAUCAUUUCUAAGCAGGCAAAAUUACAUUUUUUUUGCAAACAAAACGUUUAUUGUGCAUCAUGUGAAAAUGUCAACUAGAUGUGUCUAUAUUCUUAUUUUAUUAUACAUGAAUAACAUAUUUAACAUGGUUGCAUAUUCUGGGCAUUAUUAAUGUAAUCAUAUAUUCAAAACAAAGUUUAGCUUUUUUACUUACGUGCAUAACACAUAGCUUAUCAUAUCAACCAAUACAUAUGGAUAAACAUGGGUUACAAAUCCAGGCAUAUUUACAACAUAACAUUGUAUACAUUCAUUCACAUUGAUCCAGUGCAAACACAAUAAGACAGAGAAGCACUGCUCUUCCCUGUAGGUAUAGGUCACGUGACAGUUGUUGGGUUGUGACACCUCUGUUAGUCACAAUAUGUUAACGCAAUCAAAUAUACAAUCUACACCAGUACAGUCAGACAGACUAGUGUCCUGUCCAGGGUGUGUACUAGUACAUUAAUAUAUACCAGUAUAGACAGACAGACUAGUGUCCUGUCCAGGGGGUGUACUAGUACAUUAAUAUAUACCAGUAUAGUCAGACAGACUAGUGUCCUGUCCAGGGGGUGUACUAGUACAUUAAUAUAUACCAGUAUAGUCAGACAGACUAGUGUCCUGUCCAGGGGGUGUACUAGUACAUUAAUAUAUACCAGUAUAGACAGACAGACUAGUGUCCUGUCCAGGGGGUGUACUAGUACAUUAAUAUAUACCAGUAUAGUCAGACAGACUAGUGUCCUGUCCAGGGGGUGUACUAGUACAUUAAGUUGCCUCACGCUUCAGAAACAGGAGACAGGCUCCUGCCCUUUGGGCCGCUCUGGCUUGGACAAGGCUUCCUUAUUUUGGCAGUAUGCUCACCGAGUAAGACACUGAUCUAGAGAGAUACUACUCCUAUGAUUAAUCACUCUAUGGCUGUGUGCUCCAAAUGGCACCCUAUUCCCUACAUAGUACACUACUUUUAACCACAGCCCUAUGGGCUCUGGUCAAUAGUAGUGCAGUAUAUAGGGAAUAGGGUGCCUUACCUUUUGGGACGCCUGCCUACAUCAGUGAUUAAUUAAUACAACCUUAGUUCUCCAGAGGGAUGAACGGUUCAUAGUUAACUAUGUGCUGAACGUAAUGAGAUGGCAGAUUACCUCAUCAUAUUAACAAGAGACUGGAAACAGAGUUGGAAACCAAUUAGGAACAUGCAUCAACACUUCUCUCCUCUAUUGCCAGCAGUAUGAUUAUGAAGAACAAAAAAUAAACAACAGAAUUCUCUACUUUUAAAUGAAAGGGAACAUUCUAGGCUAGGGAACAUUCUAGGCUAGGGAACAUUCUAGGCUAGGGAACAUUCCAGGCUAGGGAACAUUCCAGGCUAGGGAACAUUCUAGGCUAGGGAACAUUCCAGGCUAGGGAACAUUCCAGGCUAGGGAACAUUCUAGGCUAGGGAACAUUCCAGGCUAGGGAACAUUCUAGGCUAGGGAACAUUCUAGGCUAGGGAACAUUCCAGGCUAGGGAACAUUCUAGGCUAGGGAACAUUCCAGGCUAGGGAACAUUCUAGGCUAGGGAACAUUCUUUCAGCUAGUUUAAGCUAUGUUCAUAUUCCAGAUGCACAACCAUCCCAUAGAUCAUGUGGAAUUAUACCUACUGUAAAUGAUACCUACUGUAAAUGAUACAUACUGUAACCGAUACCUACUGUAAAUGGUACCUACUGUAAAUGAUACCUACUGUAAAUGAUACAUACUGUAAAUGAUAUGAUACAUACUGUAAAUGAUACGGCAGGCUUACGCCAUGACCUCUCUGUUAAAGACAGUUAAUUCCUCUGAUUUGCCUCCAACACCUCUGUCCCUAAUCUCCUUGUUUCUUUCUAAAGGCCUUGGUUAGAAGGUUUCCCCCUGCAGGUCAACUGUUGGUUGGUGAGCGAGGUAGUAGCGAGGUAACAGCAAAACAGAAACGUUGGAAGAAUAUUCAUCAGGUAGCUAAGCGCCUUCACAUGAAGUUUUAGCUGCUGUAUGGGCACGAGCCAUACUCUGGUGAAACUCAGAGAGAUGUGUUCUAGAGGGUCAUUGGGGAUCUAAGAACGUAUUAGUUUGACAGGAGGGAGGCGGAUUGAUAUAGAUUUCUGUAAUGAAAAACUUUUGAGGAAUCCACAGUGGAGCUUAACACAAUUAAAUCCACUCAACUCCCAGCAGGGAGGAGAACAGAUGGAGAGAUUUGAUGUUUCUGUACUAUAUUAUCUGGAGACAAUCUCUUUAUGAUAUGACCUUUAGGCUUAUAGGGGAGGACAGGGGUGAGAGGGUCAAGCCUGAGAGACUGGUGCUCUACUCUACACAAUAAUUUAUACAUUGUCUUACUUGCUGUGUGGGGUUAUUUGGUGCAAAAUCAAUGACGAGCGCCAGCAUUUUUUUGUGAAGAGGGGAAUAGGACUAAACAGGAAAUUCAAUAUCCCUGCUACUGGGAGGAGUCAGAAUGUGUUCCAUCUGAUACUACUGGGAGGAGUCAGAAUGUGUUCCAUCUGAUACUACUGGGAGGAGUCAGAAUGUGUUCCAUCUGAUACAACUGGGAGGAGUCAGAAUGUGUUCCAUCUGAUACAACUGGGAGGAGUCAGAAUGUGUUCCAUCUGAUACUAGCGGGAGGAGUCAGAAUGUGUUCCAUCUGAUACUAGCGGGAGGAGUCAGAAUGUGUUCCAUCUGAUACUACUGAGAGGAGUCAGAAUGUGUUCCAUCUGAUACUACUGGGAGGAGUCAGAAUGUGUUCCAUCUGAUACUAGUGGGAGGAGUCAGAAUGUGUUCCAUCUGAUACUACUGGGAGGAGUCAGAAUGUGUUCCAUCUGAUACUACUGGGAGGAGUCAGAAUGUGUUCCAUCUGAUACUACUGGGAGGAGUCAGAAUGUGUUCCAUCUGAUACUAGUGGGAGGAGUCAGAACCCUGAAAAUGAUCCUCUUAGUAUUUUCAUGUUUAAAUUGAACAACAAAGUUAAACUAAAUAUGUGAUAUUUGUAUAUAGAGUAGAGACACUAACGUAACGGGAGCCAUUGGAGAGAAGAUUCAAUAUGAACGUACUAUUUAUAUGUAGAUACAGAUUGAUAUUGAAAUACUAACGGAAUGAGAGCUACUGAAGAUCUGCAAUAUCUUCAGUAACAAUGGGAAGAAUGCCAACCAACACUGUCUCUUCUGUAGCUCAGUCUUUGUUUCCGUGGCUAGGGGCUCAGAGAAGCUCAGACAGAGAAAUGCCACGUCCCAAACCUGUAGACUGGAAAGGUCAGUGUCUUGGCCACUACAGACCUUUCACAGGGUCAGGAUGUUGACAUUUUGUUCAAUUCUCUCACUUUAUCCCCAGGAUCUCAGCAGGAUUUGGCCAGUAUUGCUUAUUGUGUGAAGUUUCUUCAGUUGUUUUUAGUUUAGUCCUAUUUCUAGACCUUCUCCUGUUUAGAUCAGGAAGCUGGCCAGCUCAGAUUCAGUUGAAGGGAUCUCCUGCUCAGUUCAACAUGACAUAGAAAGAUCACUGUUUGUAUGUUCACAGACACAUUCAUCAGCCUAGUUUUAUGCCAAAAGGAUGAACAGAAAUGCAACAUCAUGUUUUGAGGAAGGUAAUGUACAAAACCCAUACAGUCCCUCUCAUGAACACUCCCUCCAUCUGGUUCGAAAGACCAUGGAAAAAAGGUUACCACCUCUUUCGGAGACAACCGAAUACAAGAUGGCAUUUGUUUUCCAGUAGAGUAUUCCCUUCGCCCUAGAAAACAUAGGUAGCCGAGAUGUCAUACUUAUACAAACUAUAUACUGUUCCCUCUUCCAGGCUCUACUGUACAAUCUCAAUGGUACACACACACAACAUGAACUGACGAUAUGUUUAAAGAUAAGAGAACUAUUCACAACACAAGCAACUGUACAAACGGUCUGCUACUUUAUACAAGGAUAUAGACAGCAUUGUGAUGAGCUACUCUCAAGACAGCUAGCUGUCUGUCUGUCUGCUUCGGGUUAAUUAUUUUUUAACUACGAACCAGCAACUACGAUUUAGAACAUAUUAUACAGAAAGGGCUUUGUACCCAAAUGGCACCCUAUUCCCUAUAUAGUGCACAACUUUUGAUUAGGACCCAUAGAGAAUAGGGUGCCAGUUGGGAUGCAGGGAAGGUUCCUUCAGGGAAGGUUUUUAGGGAGUCAAGCCUUGUCAUAAUAAUGCUUUGUGAUGUAGGGUAGCUACGCCUCAUAGAAUCCCAUUUAUUGCUUCGCCUGAUAUUUUUCAUUCAUCUUUUUUCUAUUACAUUGAAUAAGAAUCAUUAUAUCCACAUUUAUAUCUGUUCCUUUUGUCUUUUCAUCAGACAUUACUAAUAUUGAAAAAACAUGAGUUUAGAAAUAAUGUUUCUUGGAAGAGCUUACAAUUAGGUGCAAAACAAUAUAAACAUAUAUCUCAUUGAAUGCAACCUAAGAUUCAGGUAUAAGUGAAUGUAAUGUCAAUAUUUCCAGACGUGGAUCUGUUCCAUUUUAAACAGACAUCCUGAGAGGUUGAACCAACAGCGUAUCAAUAAUAAAUAGCUUUACCCCCCACUCUAUAGUGCUGUAGUUGUGACAGACUGGCUGUCUGCUGGUGUUCAACAGAUUCUUCCCUGCUUUUCAUUCUCACUCAGUUGUGGAGAGGAACCCAGACUGUCUUUAGCGUCCCGUGUACACAAAAUCUGAAGAGAGCAAGACAAAUAAAGGCACAUUUAGUCAAAUAUUAUGUCAAACACAUGUACUAAAUGUACCCUUCCGUAUGAUUAAGUUGUUUAGACGGUUUAGGGGAUUAUCG
rnacentral:lncRNA from 1 species